GACGAACGCUGGCGGCGUGCUUAACACAUGCAAGUCGAACGGAAAGGCCCUUCUUUUGUUGGGUGCUCGAGUGGCGAACGGGUGAGUAACACGUGAGUAACCUGCCCUUGACUUUGGGAUAACUUCAGGAAACUGGGGCUAAUACCGGAUAGGAGCUCCUGCUGCAUGGUGGGGGUUGGAAAGUUUCGGCGGUUGGGGAUGGACUCGCGGCUUAUCAGCUUGUUGGUGGGGUAGUGGCUUACCAAGGCUUUGACGGGUAGCCGGCCUGAGAGGGUGACCGGCCACAUUGGGACUGAGAUACGGCCCAGACUCCUACGGGAGGCAGCAGGGGGGAAUAUUGCACAAUGGGCGGAAGCCUGAUGCGGCAACGCCGCGUGCGGGAUGACGGCCUUCGGGUUGUAAACCGCUUUCGCCUGUGACGAAGCGUGAGUGACGGUAAUGGGUAAAGAAGCACCGGCUAACUACGUG
rnacentral:rRNA from 1 species